rnacentral:rRNA from 1 species
UACAGAGGGUGCAAGCGUUAAUCGGAAUUACUGGGCGUAAAGGGCGCGUAGGUGGUUGAUUAAGUCAGAUGUGAAAACCCUGGGCUUAACUUAGGAAUUGCAUUUGAAACUGAUCGACUAGAGUUUGGGAGAGGGAAGUGGAAUUUCCGGUGUAGCGGUGAAAUGCGUAGAUAUCGGAAGGAACAUCAGUGGCGAAGGCGACUUCCUGGCCCGAUACUGACACUGAGGAGCGAAAGCCAGGGGAGCAAACGGG